rnacentral:rRNA from 1 species
UACGAAGGGGGCUAGCGUUGCUCGGAAUUACUGGGCGUAAAGGGAGCGUAGGCGGAUAGUUUAGUCAGAGGUGAAAUCCCGGGGCUCAACCUCGGAACUGCCUUUGAUACUGGCUAUCUUGAGUAUGGGAGAGGUGUGUGGAACUCCGAGUGAUAGAGGUGGAAUUCGUAGAUAUUAGGAAGAACACCAGUGGCGAAGGCGGCUCACUG